GCGUAAAUGGUUUAGUGGUAAAAUCCAUCGUUGCCAUUGUUUAACAAUAUUCGAUGGGCCCCCGGUUCGAUUCCGGGUUUACGCA